rnacentral:rRNA from 1 species
AGCGAACGCUGGCGGCAGGCCUAACACAUGCAAGUCGAACGAACUCUUCGGAGUUAGUGGCGGACGGGUGAGUAACACGUGGGAACGUGCCCUUUGGUACGGAAUAACUCAGGGAAACUUGAGCUAAUACCGUAUGUGCCCUUCGGGGGAAAGAUUUAUCGCCAUUGGAGCGGCCCGCGUCUGAUUAGCUAGUUGGUGAGGUAACGGCUCACCAAGGCGACGAACAGUAGCUGGUCUUAGAGGAUGGCCAGCCACAUUGGGACUGAGACCCGGCCCAAACUCCUACGGGAGGCAGCAGUGGGGAGUCUUGCGCAAUGGGCGAAAGCCUGACGCAGCCAUGCAGCGUGGAUGAUGAAGGUCUUAGGAUUGUAAAAUCCUUUCACCGGUGAAGAUAAUGACUGUAGCCGGAGAAGAAGCCCCGGCUAACUUCGUGCCAGCCGCCGCAGUAAAAC